GUGUCGGUAGUGCAAUGGGUAAGCACGACAGACCGACUGUUUGCAAAUGCGGGUUCGAGUUCCGUCUGAGGUC
rnacentral:tRNA from 1 species